GCCUGGGUGGCUCAGUUGGUUGAGCAUCUGGCUUCAGCUCAGGUCAUAGUCUCAUAGCUCGUGAGUUUGAGCCCCACAUCGGGCU
rnacentral:tRNA from 1 species